AGUGAACGCUGGCGGUAGGCCUAACACAUGCAAGUCGAACGGCAGCACAGUAAGAGCUUGCUAUUACGGGUGGCGAGUGGCGGACGAGUGCGGAACAUGUCGGAAUCUACUUUUUCGCGGGGGAUAACGUAUGCUAACUUCCCCUACUAUCGCAUACGACCUACGGGUGAAAGCAGGGCAUCUUCGGACCUUGCGCGACUGAGUGAGCCGAUGUCGGAUUAGCUAGUUGGCGGGGUAAAGGCCCACCAAGGCGACGAUCCGUAGCUGGUCUGAGAGGAUGAUCAGCCACACUGGAACUGAGACACGGUCCAGACUCCUACGGGAGGCAGCAGUGGGGAAUAUUGGACAAUGGGCGCAAGCCUGAUCCAGCCAUACCGCGUGGGUGAAGAAGGCCUUCGGGUUGUAAAGCCCUUUUGUUGGGAAAGAAAAGCAGCAGGUUAAUACACCGCUGUUCUGACGGUACCCAAAGAAUAAGCACCGGCUAACUUCGUG
rnacentral:rRNA from 1 species